UACAGAGGGUGCAAGCGUUAAUCGGAAUUACUGGGCGUAAAGCGCGCGUAGGUGGUUGUGUAAGUUGGAUGUGAAAGCCCUGGGCUUAACCUGGGAAUUGCAUCCGAUACUGGGUGACUAGAGUACGGUAGAGGGGGGUGGAAUUCCAGGUGUAGCGGUGAAAUGCGUAGAGAUCUGGAGGAACACCGGUGGCGAAGGCGGCCCCCUGGACUGAUACUGACGCUGAGGUGCGAAAGCGUGGGGAGCAAACAGGAUUAGAAA
rnacentral:rRNA from 1 species